ensembl:lncRNA
CUUUCAUGUACAACGCAGGGAGGGGAGCCCGCUGCUGCCUUCCUCCUGACCUCGCCUCAUUCACUCUGCUCAGCAGUGCCGAGCUGUCAGCAUCAGCUGUGCCGAGCCAUACGAGGGGCCACGCAUGCCAUGCCUUGUGUGCUCACGUUUGGCCUCGUGCCGGGCGAGGGUGGGCUCUGGUGGCUCAGCACCCAGAUGCGUUCCCACCUAUCUGCUGUGGAAGCUCAGCCCGAGAUGGCACGAAACAGCUUUGCUUCCUCUGCUCCUCUCCUAACUCCUCCCACCCAGCGCUUCCUCUUUCAGAGUGGAAACAUCAUUGUAAUAGCUAUUUCUGAAACGUCCCUGCCAAAAAUCAGGAAGCACAGAGGAAUACUUCAGGGCGAGGAGGGGGAAAAGGUAUCUCGCGAGUUAUUUCGGGAGUAGGGAAUUUGUUUACAUUAGUUUGGGAGGAAAGCCGAGGCUAAUCCCGUGUUGUCUUCAGACCAAUCAUUACGUUUCCAGCUCAAGUCUCUCCGUGCUUUAGGAACUAAACUCUCUAUGCUUUUAGAGACGUGGUUUAACGGGCAAUACUGGUGGCAUGUGGGUGGUUGGACUAGAGGAUCUGAGAGGUCUUCUCCAACCUUAAUGAUUGUAUGAACUGUAAGAAGCUGCAGAAGCGGGUCUGCAGAACACCACACGUGAAUGAGUCAUCUCCAGUGGAAGUACGCCUGUGAUGGGAGCUGUGCCUAAAUGCUGUGCUGAAGUAAAGCACGUGCAUGGAGAUGAAGAAAGAAGGAAGGAGACUGUGUAAAAUUAAUAAAGCUUAGAAUCUCAGCAAAAAUCUGCAAGCGCUUUGAAUCAUUUCAGUGUUUGAACACAGCAUACAAACAAACAGCAUUCAUCAUGAAGAUACUGAAAACAGUGACCCCCUCCGCAGGUUCGGACCCCUCAACACUGUAAUAAUCUGUGGUGAGUUAUCAGAGCUCCCUUGAAUGAGAAGGACGCUUCAAACCUUGCAAAAAAAAAUCAACUUCAGUGCUUCUAAAGAAAUGCAUUUUGCAGCUUUUUCCACUCUUUUGGAUUCUUCUCCUCCCCCUUCUACCUCUCUUGCACUCUUCUCCUUGGAGAGCAGAGUUUAACAUGCCAUUGAGGAGAUAGCCCGCAUGCAAAGUCCCUCAAACAUAAACACACUUAAAGAACAGAUUCAUCACAGCAGGCUUCCAAAUGUGGAAACCACAUUCCAUCUGCACCCUUAUCCAAUGGUCAUUAGCUUAGAUCUUGAAUGGACAUUACUUAAAGCAAAGAUUAUAAAAACAUACAUACUGCUCAACAGUGAUUCAUCAGCUUCCAAGCUCUGCAAUUGAGCUCAGAGUGACUCAGGCUGGGGACUUCUGGAAUGUGCUGCAGGAAUUUGCUGCACUGAGUCUGCAAAGCUGCCUUCAGAUGGUUUCUCUGGCAACUCAGGACAUUUCAUUGAACUCAGGUAUUCUGCAUUUGUUGUCCUUGUCAACAUUUGUGAUAAAAAAAAACUCUUGUUAAGACCCCAGCCCUGAUUUUUCUGCUCAGGUUUGCAGCACUGUAACAUCAGUGACUCCUGUGCUGCCAGCUCUGCAGAGGGCUCAGCACCCACAUCAGCACACUGCUCAGGAGCUACGGAUGACAAUGGUCUCACAUACACAGCCCGGCGAUAAGAUGUCUCAAAAGGCUGGUCUCUGUGGCACCUACUUGAACCCUAUGAGGAUCUAAUUCCAGUUACAGCAAUACAAUUGAAGUAAACUAAAGACAUAAUCCCAGAAAAACAAUUGGGUUAAAACACCAAAAUACUUACAGCAUUGUAUUUACACCUAUUAGACGCAUUAAAGAAGCAAUAAGCAUUUGCAGAAGUAUCCCUUUGAAAGGUAUUUUGAAAGCACCUAACUUGGCUACAGGCUCAACAGCGAGCUGUGAAUAUUUGACAUCUACUUCCAUUAAGUACCACUGAGGUGUUUAUUCACUGCAAAGUAAAGUUUGCUAUAAAUUUCAUUCAACCUGAAGUGCAAUUG